rnacentral:lncRNA from 1 species
AGGAUCAGCAUGACUGUAGUGUUCCUGGCUUAACCCUGAGAGGUUGCUGUUCCCAGUGACUAUCUAGGCUGAAGCCCAUGUAGGAUUUGAAGAGACUGAUCCAGGCUUUAUGAGUGGCUGCGACCAUGCUGUCCAAUUAGUAUGGUGUCACCAAUAUAUGGAUCCAUGCGAUUGAUUAUCUGUGGAGUGUCCGGAUGGUCCAGGACCCUUCAGAUUAUAUUACGAUGGAGAACAGGAAAAUUAACCAAAACCUGGGCAAGACUGCGAAUGUGUGCUACUAUCCAUCCCAGGGAAUUAGGAGAACGCUUAUAUGCUACUGCUCUUCAGAGAACAAUUGAAACACCUAUUCAAGUUAGAGACCUACGUACCCUGCAAACCGACUGCUCCAUUCCCAGUUCUGGAGGCCGGAGUUGGAAAUCAGUUUCACUGGGCACACAUGGAGGUGUUUGAAGGGCUGCCCGUGCCAGAGGCUCUCAGGGAGAAUCCCUUCCUUGUCUGUUCCAGCUCUACCUCCUCCUCUGCUGUGUGAGUAAAACCUCCCUCGGCCUCUUUGAUUAGGAUAAGGUGUAUUUAGUGUCUAGCAGGACAAUCCAGGAAAUUCUUCCCAUCUCAAGAUCCCUAACUUGAUCCCUUCUGCAAAGACCUGCUUUCACUCCCAUCUGCAAACACCAUUUCCGGGUUCCAGGGAUAAGCCCUGACAUCUGUGGGUGGCCGUUAUUCAGUUACCGACAGUGUGGCAUGAUGAAAAUGAAGUGUUAAAACAAGGACUGCAGUAUUGUUUAUUCCAGCAAAUGGUGAGUGGUCCAUCCUUCUCCAAGCCCUUUCUCUUCUUCUUCUCAUGGUCUCUGGCAUCUGGGAGAGUCCACGUGGCCUGGGUUGGGCUAACAGAUACCAGCAGAAGUGAUGCGUACAACUUCCGGCAACCUAGGUGCACUUGUCUCGCCCUCCCUGGGAGCAGAUCCAUCCUCAAACCUGCAGACAAGGAUAAUGCUGUAGUGGGUACUGAGAAAAAAAAAAAAAAAAAAAAGAAGGAACCUAAAGGAAAUGUUGGAGCAGAAAUACAUUUCUAUCUUAUUCAAGCUGGUAUAUUUUGGACUUCUGUUGCUACAACAGUUUCAUCUUUAUCCUAACGAAUACCCAUACAUGUAUUAGUAAAAAUAUAAAGGUGUCCAGGGAAUAAUGUCAGACUGAGGAGAAUGGGGCUUGGGGGAAGACGGGUGGCAAGAGGAUGUGUAAGGAAUACACAGUUGUAUCUGCAAAAUGUUUUCACUCUUAAGUUCAGUGGCAAACUAACGGAUGUUCUUUAUAUUAUUCUCUAUGCUUUUUUCAAUAUCUGAUUUAUUUUGCUUUAAAAAUCUAUACUAAUAGUGGAUGAGAAAAUAAAUGUCAUAGAAGGGG